AUUGAACGCUGGCGGCAGGCCUAACACAUGCAAGUCGAGCGGAGCGGCGGACGGGUGAGUAAUGCCUAGGAAUCUGCCUGGUAGUGGGGGAUAACGUCAGGUAACGGGCGCUAAUACCGCAUCCUGUCAGAUGCGCCUAGGUUGGAUUAGCUAGUUGGUGGGGUAAAGGCCUACCAAGGCGGCGAUCCGUAACUGGUCUGAGAGGAUGAUCAGUCACACGGCAACUGAGACACGGUCUAGACCCCUACGGGAGUCAGCAGUGGGGAAUAUUCGACAAUGGGCGAAAGCCUGUUCCAGCCAUGCCGCGGGUGUGAAGAAGGGCUUCGGAUUGUAAAGCACUUUAAGUUGGGAGGCGUUACCAACAGAAUAAGCACCGGCUAACUUCGUGCCAGCAGCCGCGGUAAUUC
rnacentral:rRNA from 1 species